rnacentral:lncRNA from 1 species
CGAACCCAUGGGGUUGCUGAACCAAGGCUUGAAGUUGGGCCAGAAUUUCUGCUAUGUGGGCCUGGUUGAGCUGUUGGGCUUAGGCUGUGAUGUGGGCCUGACUGUGCUGCUGGGCCUGUCGGGCUGGUGGAGUAGGAUGGGCCUGAUGGUGAGUUGGACUGGACCCAGAUGAGUGGGCCUGAAACACAGUUGGGCCAGUCUCACUCCGGGUUAAGUCCACAUGUUGUCGGGUUCGAAUUUCGGGUCGGACGAUGGGUCAGGACGGGAGCCAUUCGGACCCAUUAUAAGCAUCUUUUACUUCUUUCCCUAACCCUAACUCUUCACUCUCAACAUGAAAUCCCUCCCUUCGGCCGCCAAUGCCCCUUUUUCCUUCUCUCCCCCCUCGCCUCAUGCUUCCAACGCCAGCGCCAGCGCCUUCC